AGAGUUUGAUCCUGGCUCAGGACGAACGCUGGCGGCGUGCCUAACACAUGCAAGUCGAACGGAACUUUUUUAAAAGAUUUCUUCGGAAUGAAUUUGAUUAAGUUUAGUGGCGGACGGGUGAGUAACGCGUGAGUAACCUGCCUCUAAGAGGGGAAUAACAUUCUGAAAAGAAUGCUAAUACCGCAUAACAUAUAUUUAUCGCAUGGUAGAUAUAUCAAAGAUUUAUCGCUUAGAGAUGGACUCGCGUCCGAUUAGUUAGUUGGUGAGGUAACGGCUCACCAAGACCGCGAUCGGUAGCCGGACUGAGAGGUUGAACGGCCACAUUGGGACUGAGACACGGCCCAGACUCCUACGGGAGGCAGCAGUGGGGGAUAUUGCGCAAUGGGGGAAACCCUGACGCAGCAACGCCGCGUGAAGGAUGAAGGUCUUCGGAUUGUAAACUUCUUUUAUUAAGGACGAAGAAAGUGACGGUACUUAAUGAAUAAGCUCCGGCUAACUACGUGCCAGCAGCCGCGGUAAUACGUAGGGAGCAAGCGUUGUCCGGAUUUACUGGGUGUAAAGGGUGCGUAGGCGGCUUUGCAAGUCAGAUGUGAAAUCUAUGGGCUCAACCCAUAGCCUGCAUUUGAAACUGCAGAGCUUGAGUGAAGUAGAGGCAGGCGGAAUUCCCCGUGUAGCGGUGAAAUGCGUAGAGAUGGGGAGGAACACCAGUGGCGAAGGCGGCCUGCUGGGCUUUAACUGACGCUGAGGCACGAAAGCGUGGGUAGCAAACAGGAUUAGAUACCCUGGUAGUCCACGCUGUAAACGAUGAUUACUAGGUGUGGGGGGACUGACCCCUUCCGUGCCGCAGUUAACACAAUAAGUAAUCCACCUGGGGAGUACGACCGCAAGGUUGAAACUCAAAGGAAUUGACGGGGGCCCGCACAAGCAGUGGAGUAUGUGGUUUAAUUCGAAGCAACGCGAAGAACCUUACCAGGUCUUGACAUCCUACUAACGAGAUAGAGAUAUGUUAGGUGCCCUUCGGGGAAAGUAGAGACAGGUGGUGCAUGGUUGUCGUCAGCUCGUGUCGUGAGAUGUUGGGUUAAGUC
rnacentral:rRNA from 1 species